rnacentral:lncRNA from 1 species
CAGGUGGAUCAUCUGAGGUCGGGAGUUCGAGACCAGCCUGGCCAGCAUGGUGAAACCCUGUCUCUACUAAAAAUACAGAAAAUUAGCUGUGUGUGGUGGCGCGCGCCUGUAAUCCCAGCAGGAGGCUGAAGCACAAGAAUCACUUGAACCUGGGAGGUGGAAUUUGCAGUAAGCCAGGAUCACGCCACUGCACUCCAGCCUGGGCGACAGAGUGAGACUCCAUCUCCAACCAACCAACCAACCGACCCCACUUCUCCAUGCUUCUCAGAAUACAUUUGCAUUUUUGGAUGGAGGGCAAGGCUUUCUAGUGGGCCCUUGGUACCUGCCUCUUUGGAAGGCACCUCCGGUCACAUCAGGAGCAUGGAUGGGGCCCCACCUGCAUACACAUGACUUCCUUGCCCCUGGUGCUUUCCUGUGGCCAGUGAGAAGCAUCAGCAAGAAACUGCUGCAGGUGAGAUCUCCAGAGACUCUGACUUUAGAAGUGCACCAGACCAGGAAUCUCUGUAACAAUACUGCCUGUGAAGAGCAUGGCUCAGGCCUUGUUUGAUCUGAUAGUCAUGGCCACCCAUGAAGGACUUGUAUUUGCCGAGUAUUCCAAAAAAUAUCUCGCAUCUGACUCUAUCCUAGGCUGAACUGUUAAUCUGUUCUUUCAUCCCUUCAAUCAGUAUUUGUUGAGUGCCCAUAAUGGAGGAGGCCUUGUUUGAAGUGCUAAAGAUACAGCUGUGAAUACGACAAAGUCCUUGCCCUCAUGAGCUUACAUUCUAGUAGGAGAGACAGAAAAUAAAC